rnacentral:rRNA from 1 species
ACUGCCUGAUGGAGGGGGAUAACUACUGGAAACGGUAGCUAAUACCGCAUAAUGUCGCAAGACCAAAGAGGGGGACCUUCGGGCCUCUUGCCAUCGGAUGUGCCCAGAUGGGAUUAGCUUGUUGGUGGGGUAACGGCUCACCAAGGCGACGAUCCCUAGCUGGUCUGAGAGGAUGACCAGCCACACUGGAACUGAGACACGGUCCAGACUCCUACGGGAGGCAGCAGUGGGGAAUAUUGCACAAUGGGCGCAAGCCUGAUGCAGCCAUGCCGCGUGUAUGAAGAAGGCCUUCGGGUUGUAAAGUACUUUCAGCGGGGAGGAAGGGAGUAAAGUUAAUACCUUUGCUCAUUGACGUUAUCCGCAGAAGAAGCACCGGCUAACUCCGUGCCAGCAGCCGCGGUAAUACGGAGGGUGCAAGCGUUAAUCGGAAUUACUGGGCGUAAAGCGCACGCAGGCGGUUUGUUAAGUCAGAUGUGAAAUCCCCGGGCUCAACCUGGGAACUGCAUCUGAUACUGGCAAGCUUGAGUCUCGUAGAGGGGGGUAGAAUUCCAGGUGUAGCGGUGAAAUGCGUAGAGAUCUGGAGGAAUACCGGUGGCGAAGGCGGCCCCCUGGACGAAGACUGACGCUCAGGUGCGAAAGCGUGGGGAGCAAACAGGAUUAGAUACCCUGGUAGUCCACGCCGUAAACGAUGUCGACUUGGAGGUUGUGCCCUUGAGGCGUGGCUUCCGGAGCUAACGCGUUAAGUCGACCGCCUGGGGAGUACGGCCGCAAGGUUAAAACUCAAAUGAAUUGACGGGGGCCCGCACAAGCGGUGGAGCAUGUGGUUUAAUUCGAUGCAACGCGAAGAACCUUACCUGGUCUUGACAUCCACGGAAGUUUUCAGAGAUGAGAAUGUGCCUUCGGGAACCGUGAGACAGGUGCUGCAUGGCUGUCGUCAGCUCGUGUUGUGAAAUGUUGGGUUAAGUCCCGCAACGAGCGCAACCCUUAUCCUUUGUUGCCAGCGGUCCGGCCGGGAACUCAAAGGAGACUGCCAGUGAUAAACUGGAGGAAGGUGGGGAUGACGUCAAGUCAUCAUGGCCCUUACGACCAGGGCUACACACGUGCUACAAUGGCGCAUACAAAGAGAAGCGACCUCGCGAGAGCAAGCGGACCUCAUAAAGUGCGUCGUAGUCCGGAUUGGAGUCUGCAACUCGACUCCAUGAAGUCGGAAUCGCUAGUAAUCGUGGAUCAGAAUGCCACGGUGAAUACGUUCCCGGGCCUUGUACACACCGCCCGUCACACCAUGGGAGUGGGUUGCAAAAGAAGUAGGUAGCUUAACCUUCGGGAGGGCGCUUACCACUUUGUGAUUCAUGACUGGGGUGAAGUCGUAACAAGGUAACCGUAGGGGAACCUGCGGUUG